rnacentral:rRNA from 1 species
ACCUCUAGAGGUACAACAAAGCAGAGUUUUCAUGGAUCUAGAAACAAGAAGCAGUGGAGUACGCAUCUAGAUCCAUGAAAAGACGGCCGUGUGGCCGGCUGGACUGUGCAGCAGGGGUACAGAAAGGGGCCUCGCAUGAUUGGGGUGCAACAGCGAGCUAGCCGCUACCGUAGGAGGCCGGCGUAAGAUCGAGAAAGAGGAUGGCCACCGGAGAUAGCAGGACCAUGGUCUGCUGGAGGGAGGACAUGGUGAUUGAGGUCAUGAG